rnacentral:rRNA from 1 species
AGCACGUUAUGGUGGGCACUCUAAGGAGACUGCCGGUGGACAAACCGGAGGAAGGUGGGGAGUGACGUCAAGUCAUCAUGGCCCUUACGGCCUGGGCUACACACGUGCUACAAUGGUCGGCACAACGGGAAGCGAGUUCGCGAGGACGAGCGGAUCCCUUAAAGCCGGUCGCAGUUCGGAUUGAAGUCUGCAACUCGACUUCAUGAAGCUGGAAUCGCUAGUAAUCGUGGAUCAGCCAAGCCGCGGUGAAUACGUUCCCGGGCCUU